CGUUUGGAUUACUGGGAAGAUGAUCUUCGUCGAAGGAGACGAUUUGUUCGCAAUGCAUUUGGCUCCACUCAUGCUGAAGCAUUGCUGAAAGCUGCAAUAGAAUAUGGCACGGAAGAAGAUGUAGUAAAGUCAAAGAAAACAUUCAGAAGUCAAGCAAUAGUGAACCAAAAUGCAGAGACAGAACUUAUGCUGGAAGGAGACGAUGAUGCAGUCAGUCUGCUACAGGAGAAAGAAAUUGACAACCUUGCAGUUCCCUUUCUUCCCAAGCUGUUCG
rnacentral:lncRNA from 1 species